UUACUGGGUGUAAAGGGCGUGUAGGCGGGUAUACAAGUCAGGUGUGAAAUGCGGGGGCUCAACCCCCGAGCUGCACUUGAAACUGUGUAUCUUGAGUGAUGGAGAGGCAGGCGGAAUUCCCGGUGUAGCGUGAAAUGCGUAGAUAUCGGGAGGAACACCAGUGGCGAAGGCGGCCUGAUGGACAUUAACUGACGCUGAGGCGCGAAAGCGUGGGGAGCAAACAGGAUUAGAUACCCCUGGUAGUCCACGCCGUAAACGAUGGAUACUAGGUGUGGGGGGACUGACCCCCUCCGUGCCGCAGUUAACGCAAUAAGUAUCCCACCUGGGGAGUACGUACGCAAGUAUGAAACUCAAAGGAAUUGACGGGGGCCCGCACAAGCAGUGGAGUAUGUGGUUUAAUUCGACGCAACGCGAAGAACCUUACCAGGGCUUGACAUCCAACUAACGAAGCAGAGAUGCAUUAGGUUCCCUUCGGAGAAAGUUGAGACAGGUGGUGCAUGGUUGUCGUCAGCUCGUGUCGUGAGAUGUUGGGUUAAGUCCCGCAACGAGCGCAACCCCUAUUGUUAGUUGCUACGCAAGAGCACUCUA
rnacentral:rRNA from 1 species